CCCCGGGUGCGGGGAGGCCGGGCGGGGCCGCACCUUCUCCCGGGCCCGAGAACCUGAGCCCGGGUUCGAGGCCCGGGAGGGCGGGACGUCCAGACGACAGCCUCUCUGUAAAAUCUCUUGCUAAAGGGGUUCAGAGUCCCGUUCUUCACCUCUCAGCCCUUCAGAGACCACCCCAUGUCUAGCUUCUUGGGGUGACCUGAGAUGCCCAAGUCACCGAGGACAAGUUAAUAAGCUAAACCAUCCGCGGUCUGUUUCCUGUUUUGCCCAUUGUGGGGAAGGCAGCCCCUGGCCUCCCUAAUUGUUCCUACAAGACUGGGAACUUCAUAAGAACACGUGAGAUAACAAGCGUGUAAAAUGCUGCAGAAAGCCUAGAAGGACAUUUGGUGAUUUGAGGCAUGUCCGUUUAUAGAUUGCUGUUGCUGUGGCAGAAUACCUAGAUAAACACCUAAGAGGGAAGAUUUCCUUUGGAUCACAGUGAUUUCAGUGCAUGGCCACAUGGGCCUCACUUUGAGCUGUGCAGCACAGUACACCGUGGCCUGGAGCGUGAAUUUAUUAGAAUUGCCAUAUAUCUUAUGCAUACAAGAACCUUGGGAAAUAGAUAAAGAGAAAUGCCAUGUGUCGUCAGAUACUGAAGUUGUGAAGUUAGAAGACAUUUGCUAAGUCAGAUCACCUCAAAGUGGAACAGAGGAAAGUGAACACCUAAGUACCUACGGAGAGGAAUGACGCUGCUUUCAGGAGAUAACACCAGAAGAGGGGGUGACACCUGCUGCCAAAAACACAGGAAGUCUGCUGAGGGAGCACUUGGACUUCUGGGCCCUCGCACUCCAGCCAGAAGACUGUCUUCUCCAAACCUCAGGAUUUAGCAGGAAAGUUACUGUUCAAGUUGGUGUUCCCAAACACAUCAUGAUGCAUAAUUCUUUAUCAGUACCACCAAAAGAUCAAGACCACAUGAAAGGAGUCAACUCUGCAAAGUCUUCAGGCUUUGGGUUGUCACUGGUUUCUGAGACCACCAGUGGCACCUUCCUCAGUGCUGAACUGGCCUCCAGUGCCCAGGGCCAUGGAGCAGCUGUGCUUCCAGAGGAGCUUGGCAGGAACUGUGCCAGGCUGCUGCUUGAAGAGAUCCAUAGGGAUGGAUGUGUAGACUUAGCCAACCAGAGACCAAAGUCUGGCUCUGUUGCUCUUGACCCUUGGACAGCAGGAUGUUUCCAGAUUCCUGCUAGGGCCACUCUCUUCUUAUAUGAUCGAGUUUUUAUAGCAUUUGAAGCACUUUUUCCAGACUGUGUUUAAAAUAGAAACCAAGUCAUUGGUGAAGAACCCGAGGCUAAGGGUAAAAUGCUAAUGACCAGUUGGCUUCUCCAACCUUAGCAAGACCCUCAAGUGAUACUGUCACAAGAUAACUUUCCAUUGCCUGCAGACAAAAGAGAAGCUGCCAAAUGGACCAAGUACAGAUGUAUUCAUCCAAGACAGGAUAACCUGUAUUUUAAGGACUUUCUUAAUUUUUCAUUAAAAAUAUCGGUAUACAAAUAAAAACCAUCCCUUCAUCAUGUGGUUUCCAGCCAUUCUUCCAGUAGCAUUGACAUUCCUUAGGGGACCAGUCACUGUGGCGCUUCCCUGUUUGACCUGGAAGAAGAGUACCUUGAGGUUAUGUUCAUGCUGAUGGAACAAUACCACAGUGGCAGUUCUAUGCUUCGUCAGUCCACGUCCCUCAGAUUCUGUUCUGUAACCAUCUUCCAGACCUGUGGAAUCUGUUACUGUUCUUUGUGCAAAGACUUAACCUCAGCUUCUAUUGUAGAGAUUAAAUGUAGCUGGGGGCCGGGGGGGGCACAAACAAACAAAAUAGAAACAUGACAAGGCAAGCCAACAAAAUGCCUCCAAAACCCCCAGCUCCCCCAAAGCUGAUCCAUGAGACAUCAAAGAGGAGGAAAACAAAAGCCAUACACCUGAAUUACUUGAAAUGAUUUCAGGGGAGAUAAACAGAUCAGUAAGGCAUUUGGCAAGAUCACAGAAGACACAAGUAAAUAACACUGGACCAAGUAAACAAAACUCAGCAAGUCUAUGGAAGACUAAUUAAUAAAAAGCUAGCAGAGCUGAACAAAGUGAUGCAAAAUAUUAACGACUAUCGUAGAAAAUAUCUAGAGUCCAUAAAAAGACUCCAAAUAGAAUUCAGGAGAUUAAAAAUCUUGUCAGAAAUAUGGGCAGUAGAAGUGACAGUUGUGAGGAAAGAAUGUCAGAACUAGAAAGAGAGUUGUCAUCAGUGACAAAUUAAUGAGAAAUACCUUAACAAACAAAAAGAACAUAAAAAAUGGAUCCAACAGCUCCAAGAUGACAUGACGAUUAAUCUAAGAUUAAUUAGAAUUAGUGAAAAAUCAGAAGACAGCACAAAUGGCACUAAUAAAACCUUUUUAACUACAGCAAUAGCAGAAAACUUUCCAAAUUAGGGAAAAGGAUUUAACAUACAGAUAAGUCAGGCAUAUAGAGGCCCAACUAGCCAUGACCAGAAAAGAAUCUCUCCACGACACAUCAUAGUCAAAAUUCUGGAAGUCUGGCACAAGAACCAAAUCUUAAAUGUGGUUAGCAAAAAGCAACAAAACACUCAUAAAGCCAGGCCUCGUGUGCACACCUGUAAUCCCAGCACUUGAGAGACUGAGGCAGGAGAAUCACUGUGAGUUCAAGGCCAACCUGGGCUAUACAUAGUAAGUUCAAGACCAUCCUGAACUAAAAAGCGAGACCCUGUCUCAAAAAACAAAAACAAACAAAAAACACUCAUAAAGGUAAACUCAUUGGAAUUAUAGUAGACUUCUCAACACAAACCUUAAAGGAAAGAAAAGCUUGGAGUGAAGUGUUUCAAGAAAAUUAUUUCCAACCUAGGUUAAUAUAUACUGUGAAACUAUCUUUCAAAGUUGAUGGAGAAAUAAGAUACUUUCAUGAUAAAGAGCACCUAAUGAAAUUCAUGACCACCAAACCAGCACUCCAAAAAUUUCUCAAAGAUAAUCCUAGAAAGACACAAUGACGCUAACAAUGAGAAAAGGCUCUAAUAGAAUGAAUACACUGGGUAGGGUGAGCAGUUAAGUGGAAGGGAAAGACUGGGAAUCCAAAACAGUAAAAUAAGGCAAUAACAAGAAUAAGUCAUUACCUUAAAAAAAAAAAAAAAGAAUAAGUCAUUACCUAUCAGUAAUAACUCCCAAUGUGAAUGGUCUCAAUACCCCAAUCAAAAGACACAGAAUGGCAGAAUGGAUCAAGAUCCAGUGGUAUGCUAUUUAUACGAAAUACAUUUAUCCCAAAAAGAAACACAUAGAUUAAAAAUCAAAGGAUGGAAAACAAAAUAGCAGGUAUAGCUAUCCUAUAUUCAAACAAAGUGGACUUAAAGCCAAAAUUGAUCAAAAGAGGUACAGAAGGUGACUACAUACUGUGUUUCCCAGAAAAUGAGACCUAGCUGGAAAAUUCUUGGCUUACCUCCCUUACAGAGUAGCCACCAAGCAAGAAAGUAGUGAUGGCAGGUAAGGCAAGGAAGGAUAGCCUGAUUGGGGCUGGCAGUUUUGAUCCCUACUUUGGAGGCUGAUUAUUUUCUAGCUAGGUCUCAUUUUUGAGGAAAGAGUUUAUUGGUUAAGGGAAUAAUCUAACAGGAAGUGAUAACAAUUAUUAGCAUAUAUGCACCAAACAGUGGCUCACCCAGCUUUAUAAAACAAGUACUACUAAACACAAAAGACCAGAUAAAUACCCAGUUAUAGUGGGGGACCUCAAUAGCCCAGUAACACAAA